CCUACGGGAGGCAGCAGUGGGGAAUAUUGGACAAUGGGGGCAACCCUGAUCCAGCCAUGCCGCGUGUGUGAAGAAGGCCUUCGGGUUGUAAAGCACUUUCAGUGGUGAGGAAAGGGUAACCGCUAAUACCGGUUAUCUGUGACGUUAGCCACAGAAGAAGCACCGGCUAAUUCCGUGCCAGCAGCCGCGGUAAU
rnacentral:rRNA from 1 species